rnacentral:sRNA from 14 species
GGCUGUGCAAUGGUGUGGCUGUGACUGACAUCUGUCAGUCCAGCAAUCACCAGGGUUGAUUCAGCUGGUCUGGCUGGGAAGGUGCCCCCUUCUCUCCCACAGAGAUGUGUGCAUCUUUCCUGAUGUGUGUGCUUUCCCCAAGGCUGCUCUCUGUACAAGAAGACUGUCUUUGUACAAAAUCUUCUAAUAUCUGUGCCCUACUAGUAGAACCUCCAAGCAAGCUCUCAAUGCUGGGAUGUGUUUUCCUAGCACUGCAGAUAGAGCCUCUAACCUA